UCACAUCUAACGCUACCACCCCUUUUCCAUUCUCUCUCUCUCUCUCUCUCUCUCUCUCUCUCUCUCCCCCUUCCUUUUUCUUCUCCAAACUAUUUCUAACUCUCAAUUUGGAAAGCUUCUAGAUUACUAUAUGGUCUUCCACUCCACACGCUGUUCCAGAUUUCAUGGGUGCUUUGUUCGUAAGUCGAGGGAACGGGUGGCCGUUGAAGCCAUCAUCGUAUGAAGGUAGGAUUUCCCUUCUCAUCUCGGUUCCAACAGAUUUUAAUUUCUCUCUAUUUUUCACAGCUGUGAUUUUCUUUUGGAGAAUUGGGUGGUGUCAUCUUCAAGUUCACGUUGCAAAAUCGUAGCUCUUGGCUUUGAUGAAAAAUUUAUAAGGACAUGGAAAUAUUACUUUGAAUAUUGUGCAGCUGGUUUUAAGUCGUGUACACUCGGAGUCUAUUAGCUUUUUGAGAAGGUGUGCUGGAAAUGGAAAACACAGACACAGAGCAGGAAACAGAGUCUUCAUUGAGAGGGGUUUUCAAGUUACUUGGAGAACCUACGAUAGUUAUUAAUGGGUAGCAUCUGCAUUAUUUUAAUUUAAAACUUUGUAUCUGUUCUGAGCUUCCCUGCAGCAGUACUCACAUCCCUUUUUGUUCUUUUUCUACUCCAUCAAACUUGUAGUGUUUAGUAUAUUAAUGGCUGUAUCCAAAACAUAGGCUAUCCAUUUCGAUUAAUGGAGGAUCCACCAAACUGUGAUGACACAAGGUAUAACCUGUCAUGUGAGGACAACAGUACUACUGUCAUAUACUUAUAUGGUGGAAGGUACCAUGUGUGAGAAAUCAAUUACAGGGACUGCACAAUCCGAAUAGUAGACUCAGGUAUUUAGAGAGAUCAUUUCUCGGCUUCUAUCCCUGGUAAUUUAAGCUGGUUGCAUCCAUUUUUUUACUCACCAUAUUUCCCAUUACUAAUUACUAUGGUUUUCUUGAGCUGUGAAAAGCAAGUGCAUACAUCCUUUUAUUGGAACGAUUCAACUUAUUGCUUUAAGACCGAAGUAUAUUCUUCCAACUCUUCAUCGUCUUCCCAAGAUAUGCAUAGAUAUGUUAAAUAUCUAGAUAGACCUCCAUAUCCAAGGCAGGUGGAGGAAUCUUGUUGAAUAAAGCAAAUAUCCCUAAUAUCGAGGGAAGGCUGUCAAUAUAUCCAAAAAUUGCUUCCUGUGAAGAGAUUCGCAACGAAUUGUUAUGCGGUUUUAAGUUUAAUUGGCUACAUGUUUCUUGUCAAUGCGACGGACCCAACAAUUGCUACCUCGAUGACGCAAAUAAAAUUCAAUGCGAUAAUGGAUUCUUCAAAGGACUGGCAGACGUAUACAAAGGACUGGCGGACGUAUACAAUGCAUUCAAAAUUCCAAAUCCAUGAUGGGUGCACUUUGAGAAAUUCUUAUGUCAUGCCUUCUCACCUUCCUGCUGGUGGAGUUAUUGGAUCAAUCUUGGUGGUCCUUUGCUUGUUUUGGGUUGGUCUGGUAGAAGAAGAAGAACUACUCAUGAAAGAAAUGGUCGGAAAGCUAACGACAAACACAAUGUAAAGUAAAAUAAUUAUCCAUGAAGAAGAGCUUUCAUGUAAUGUGAUUUGUGUUUUUUUAUUUAUUAUAUAUUUUUAUUAUGGUAUAUCAUA